UUUGAAGCUCGGCCCUGAACAAUUGUUGUUGUUGGACAGAAAUGUGCCGUUUAAAAGUAUAUUUACAAGGAUUAUUUAUUUAUUUAGCUGUAGCUUAGUUAUACAAAAUAUGGGGAAGUGAUCGGAUGUAUCAGAAAUUAGAAUUCCUGUGUUUAUGUACUGUGGUUGGUGAAAGUUUGUGUAGAAGUUGUCAAUGACUGAGGCUGUGUUAGUGGUGACUCGAGUUGGCUUAACCAGCUGUACGAAUGAGUUUGAUUGCACAGUAUCUACAUGAUUUUGUUAUUGGUGCUACACAGAUUGAGAUUCACCCAUCAGAUCCCACAAUGCAUUGAGAAUAGCAGCACAGGCCAAGUGUAUAACUCCCUUUUCUGGACCAAUCUAUGUAACAACACAUUGUAAGUUAGUCCACCUUCAUAUAGAGCGAUGAAGAUCAAGAUGAUUGUUUUUAAUGACACUCCGUUCAGUCUGCCACCUGCUGGCGCCGCCAACAAUGAGCGGGGUUGGAUUUGCCGUCUACGAUGCAGUGAACGCCUGGCUUAACAGCAAACAGUAUAAUACCGAUUAUCAUCACGGAAACAUUUAGACAAAAUGGUCAAUUAUUAUCAGAAGUGAUCUAAAUCACUACAUGUAUAAACAAUUCUCCUUUCUGUAUGAUGAAACAAUUAAAUAAUUAUUUUCCAAAAAUACAGAAAGUGCAAACAGAAACUAUAAUGAAAAAUAUGAUAAUGAUGAUGGUGAACACGUUUGUAGUGGUAAUUGACCGGGUGCUGAAGAGGUGGUGACAAGCAGCAGCAUAGAAAACAAUCACAUUAAUAAUAGUAGUUCUGUAAGUGGAUGGUGAUGUGAAGAGGAGUCAACCAUUCAGAUUGCAGAUGUUAUACCCAUAUAUAUAUAUAUAUAAUAAUAACUGCAGUGAUAAAGAAUCUACUCAACCCAUCUUAAUUGGGAUUCGCUGGUAAUUGUUCUCCAAAAUCCUCCAAAGUCAGACACAAUUUUAGCAAAAUCUUGUCCAAGAACAAAUGGUGACAAUGCCUUAACAGUUUGACAUACUGCAAAAUAUAGAAGAAAUAGAAUGUUGUGGCCACAUGUUCUAUUUAAACCCUGAUAAAACAAAAUUGUUUUUACGUUAUGUAUAUUUUUCAUUAUGGUUAAGUCGUUAAUUGUAUUUGCUCUAGAGGUUAUUAAGUUCAUAUGAACAGUAUUAACAAUAAUUAUCUCCAUAAAAAAUACCAGCUGGUUAAAAAAAACUCUAAUAUAUGAAAUUUAUUAUUCAUCAGGAUAAAAUAACUCAUUUACUCUCAAAGAAAUCAGAAAUCAGAAAACCACUUUGAAGAAAUUCAAAAUAUUAGAAAUUUGUAUGAUUUUUUUUAUAUCUGUACUCACUAACUUCAGUGCCUCUUCCACAGGUAAAUGUUGGGCCAUGUCCAAAUAAGCCAUCAUUCACAUUUGUACCAAUAAUCACAUACGCACAAGAAUAGUCCGGGUCUGUGUGCUUGGGAGAAAAUUUUGAAAAAAUAGUAUCAAAUAAAAGAGAUCUGAAAGAAAUACAUAGUCUGAAAGUGUAAUGUCAUGAUGAGGAUCUUAGGUGUGGAAGUGCAGGGCUCUGAGCUGUAUCCAUCUACUGUUCUCAGUUCCAGUAGAAAAGAGUCUUGAAAUAGAGUUGGAGAGGGCAAAUGGGGGCAGCAUAAAGGUGACCGGGCUCAAUCAAGUUUAGGUGAUUUUUAACUACUCAAACAUUUUUUUUCUUAAAAAAAUGUUCAGCGUGAAAAGGUGGCUGACUGGAGAAGGGAUGCUGUUUUUGGGGAUGUGCCCCUUUCAUUUCAGCGCAUCCCCUGGGCCUAGAUAAUGCCAAUGCUUGGAUGGUUGGUUCAUGCACACAGGGCGAGAACAAAUUGAGAAAAUUUGACAUUACUAUUAAUAGAAAAGAUUUUAAUUUUUUUUUCAUACUUUUUUGAAAAAAAAAAAAACCAAAAAAA